UUAGUCUGACGGUCUUGGAGAAACACACACUCGUACACAUACGCAGGGGGAAAUGCGCACAUCCCCGCAGCAGUGGCUGCGUGGAGGUGUUAACUUUAAACUGCACGUUGCGCUUUGCCCUGAAAAGGAAGCUCGCGGUGAAAUGCGUGCUUCAAACGCCGGCGAGGCGAGAAGAGAGCCCGGCUGAGAUCAGGACACCUCCAUGACCUAACCUGCUGUCUGCUUGGUCAUGGAAGAGCGUGGAGCCAAUGAACCUGUCCCUUCAAACGCUACAACUCCUCUGCCCCCUUGCAGAAACUCUUGCCCUCUUCACCAAUUGACUCCUGGACUCAAGACCACCGGUCUGGAUCUGGCCUCUGCCCUCCCUCAUAUGAACUCUGACAAGCUGACCUCGCCUAGAGUAGCCAAACCACUCCCCAGAAGCUGAGCCUGGCUGUUCCCUGGAAGCCCUGGUGCCCACUCCACUACCUGUUCAGGACCACUCAAAGAUCAAUUCCAGUUCAGCUGCCAGCCAAGCUUUGCCUUCAUGGACUUGGUAAUUUGGACUCUGGCCCCUCCUGAGAAGGGGAGAGCUCUUUCUUCAUUCUCAGCCAUCCUACCCAAUAUGUCCCUUCUCCUCACCAGGACUCCUUAGGGAACAGCAUGACUAGAUCCACCCUGUUAAUUGCAAUUAGUCAUGCGCAGAUCUUCUAGCAGCAGACUCACCUACAGAGAUAUGGAAGCAGAGAGAGCACGUAGGCAGGGAUCACUAGGAAGCAACUGGAUUUUCAGACAAGCCCAGAAGCAGAGACAUCCAGAACUCCUAGGGCAGUGGUGCUGGAGUUUCUAGCAUCCAACCCCAAGCCUCAUGUUCAAAAGCAGGCAGGGACAGCCACUAUGUUUUACGAGGUCAGUCUUGUGCUAUGCGAGGGCACUUCUAGUUAUGAAAGCAUCCAAGCCUGGUUCUCUGAUCCUCUCAAAGAUCUGUAAAAUUCCUACUAUCUUUUAAUAAAACCU